rnacentral:rRNA from 1 species
GCUACUUUUGCCGGCGAGCGGCGGACGGGUGAGUAAUGCCUGGGAAAUUGCCCAGUCGAGGGGGAUAACAGUUGGAAACGACUGCUAAUACCGCAUACGCCCUACGGGGGAAAGCAGGGGACCUUCGGGCCUUGCGCGAUUGGAUAUGCCCAGGUGGGAUUAGCUAGUUGGUGAGGUAAUGGCUCACCAAGGCGACGAUCCCUAGCUGGUCUGAGAGGAUGAUCAGCCACACUGGAACUGAGACACGGUCCAGACUCCUACGGGAGGCAGCAGUGGGGAAUAUUGCACAAUGGGGGAAACCCUGAUGCAGCCAUGCCGCGUGUGUGAAGAAGGCCUUCGGGUUGUAAAGCACUUUCAGCGAGGAGGAAAGGUUGUUGGCUAAUACCCGCCGGCUGUGACGUUACUCGCAGAAGAAGCACCGGCUAACUCCGUGCCAGCAGCCGGCGG